rnacentral:rRNA from 1 species
UACGAGGGGUGCAAGCGUUGCUCGGAAUUAUUGGGCGUAAAGGGUAGGUAGGUGGUCUCAUUUGUCCGGGGUGAAAGCCUUGAGCUUAACUCAAGAAGUGCCCCGGAAACGGUGAGACUCGAGUCCUGGAGAGGGUCGUGGAAUUCCCGGUGUAGCGGUGAAAUGUGUAGAGAUCGGGAGGAACACCAGAGGCGAAGGCGGCGACCUGGACAGGCACUGACACUCAACUACGAAAGCGUGGGGAGCAAACAGG